CGCGCGCCCGACGUGCGCGUAGGGGGAGGGGCCGCGCGCAGAGGGCGGGGAGGUGGGCAAGAUGGCGCCUGCUGAGUGAUUCUCCUCGGAUUCCUCCUGCCGGCGCGGAGACAGCGGGGCAGGGGUCGUGCCGCCACUACCUCCUUUCCUCCUCUCCCCCGCCCCCGGAGCCUUCCUCCUUCCCUUCCCCCCUCCACCUCGGAGGGCAGGCCUGGUUCCCGGGACACCAUGUCGGACUCUGAGGAGGAGAGCCAGGACCGGCAACUGAAAAUCGUCGUGCUGGGGGACGGAGCCUCCGGGAAGACCUCCUUAGCUACGUGUUUUGCUCAAGAAACUUUUGGGAAACGGUACAAACAAACUAUAGGACUGGAUUUCUUUUUGAGAAGGAUAACAUUGCCAGGAAACUUGAAUGUUACCCUUCAAAUUUGGGAUAUAGGAGGACAGACAAUAGGAGGCAAAAUGUUGGAUAAAUAUAUCUAUGGAGCACAGGGAGUCCUCUUGGUAUAUGAUAUUACAAAUUAUCAAAGCUUUGAGAAUUUGGAAGAUUGGUAUACUGUGGUGAAGAAAGUGAGCGAGGAGUCAGAAACUCAGCCACUGGUUGCCUUGGUAGGCAAUAAAAUUGAUUUGGAGCAUAUGCGAACAAUAAAACCUGAAAAACACUUACGGUUUUGCCAGGAAAAUGGUUUUAGUAGCCACUUUGUCUCAGCCAAGACAGGAGACUCUGUCUUCCUGUGCUUUCAGAAAGUUGCUGCUGAAAUCCUUGGGAUCAAAUUAAACAAAGCAGAAAUAGAACAGUCACAGGAAGUUCAGGGAUGAGCAUCUGACGGCUGGUGGCUCAUUAGGAACAAAGACUCUUUUUUUCUGCUCUGAUGUCCCAAGCACAAAGGCUUCAUCCUCAUUCAAAUGGCUUCAAGAUUGCGAGGUGGCUGCCAUCCACUCCAUGUCUGCAUGCCAUGGAGCAACAAGGGAGGAGGAAAAGGGCACUUCAACUCUCCAGGCUGUACCAUUUUGAGGGAAAACAGGGUGGCUCUCUGCAAAAAAUGCCAUGGAAUAUGAAAAGUAAAGCAGCUUUGUCUGCUUUACCAGGGAAAAACUCCCGACUUUCUCAGGGAGAUUGCUGAACUAGAAGAUUGAAUUGAGAUUGGAGUCUUCCUGGAAUAAAUAAAAGAACAGCCACUAAAGGAUCAAAGAGAGCCUGAUGAGGAAUGAAUAGCAAUGCUCUGAAUUCCAACUGACCUUCUACAGAAAAGUACCUGACUGCCAAGUGGUCUUUCCAGUCAUUGGUGGAGGAUCACUUUGGUACCCCUGCCAAUAGGCUCGCCAUGGUCAGCACACACAGUGAAGGAACCUCCAGCAGAAGACUCCCAGGCAUACCAUCAUCAUUGGGCUUUGUGAUCACAACCACUUUCUCUGCUACCAGCAAAAGAAACUACCAUCAGAGUGAACAGGCAACCUAGAAAAUGGGAGAAAAUUUUCCCAACCUACUCAUCUGACAAAGGGCUAAUAUCCAGAAUCUACAAUGAACUCCAACAAAUUUACAAGAAAAAAACAAACAACCCCAUCAAAAAGUGGGCAAAGGAUAUGAACAGACACUUCUUCAAAGAAGACAUUGAUACAGCCAAAAGACACAUGAAAAAAUGCUUAUCAUCACUGGCCAUCAGAGAAAUGCAAAUCAAAACCACAAUGAGAUACCAUCUUACACCAGUUAGAAUGGCAAUCAUUAAAAAGUCAGGAAACAACAGGUGCUGGAGAGGAUGUGGAGAAAUAGGAACACUUUUACACUGUUGGUGGGACUGUAAACUAGUUCAACCCUUGUGGAAGUCAAUGUGGCGAUUCCUCAGGGAUCUAGAACUAGAAAUACCAUUUGACCCAGCCAUCCCAUUACUGGGUAUGUACCCAAAGGACUAUAAAUCAUGCUGCUAUAAAGAGACAUGCACAUGUAUGUUUAUUGCAGCACUAUUCACAAUAGCAAAGACUUGGAACCAACCCAAAUGUCCAACAAUGAUAGACUGGAUUGAGAAAAUGUGGCAUAUAUAUACCAUGGAAUACUAUGCAGCCAUAAAAAAUGAUUAGUUCAUGUCCUUUGUAGGGACAUGGAUGAAAUUGGAAAUCAUCAUUCUCAGUAAACUAUCGCAAGAACAAAAAACCAAACACCGCAUGUUCUCACUCAUAGGUGGGAAUUGAACAAUGAGAACACAUGGACACAGGAAGGGGAACAUCACACUCUGGGGACUGUUGUGGGGUGGGGGGAGGGGGGAGUGAUAGCAUUAGGAGAUAUACCUAAUGCUAAAUGGCGAGUUAAUGGGUGCAGCACACCAGCAUGGCACAUGUAUACAUAUGUAACUAACCUGCACAUUGUGCACAUGUACCCUAAAACUUAAAAUAUAAUAAUAAUUAAAACAACAACAACAACAACAACAACAAAGAAAAGCUUCAAGUCACAUGCAAGGAAAUAUCCAUUAGACUAACAACAGCUUUCUCAGCACAAACCUUACAGGUCAGUAGAAAAUGGGAUAAUAUAUUUAAAGUGCUGAAAGAAAAAAAACUCAGCCAAGAAUACUAUGCCCAGCAAAGCUAUCAUUCAUAUAUGAAGGAGAAUUAAAGUUUUUCAGACAAGCAAAAACUGAGGAAAUUCAUCACCAGUAGACUAGCUUUGCAAAAAAUGCUUAAGGGAACCCUACAUUCAGACAUGAAAGGGUGAUAACUACCAUCGUGAAAAUACACACAAGUAUAAAACUUACUAGUAGGGAAAAUAUAUAAAUGAGAAAGAAGAAGGAAUAAAAUCUUAUCACCAUAGAAACCCACCUAACCACAAAGAUACAAAAUAAAAGAAUAAGAAAGAAACAAGAGAUAUACAAAACAACCAGAAGACAACUAACUAACUGACAUGAGUAAGUCGUCACUAAUUAAUAAUAACCUUGAAAAUAAAUGGAUUAAAUUCCUAAAUUAAAAGUUACAGACUAGAUGAACCAAUUAAAAGUACCCAACUAUAUACUGCCUACAAGAAACUCACUUCACCUGUAAAGACACUGAAAGAGAAGGGAUGAUAAAAGAUAUUUCGUGAAAAUGAAUACCAAAAAUGAGCAGAAGUAGUUAUAAGAAAUAUACUUUAAGACAAAAAUUCUAAAAACAUACAAAAAGGUCAUUAUAUAAUGCUAAAGGGGUCAAUUAAAUAAGAAGAUAUAACAAUUGUAAAUGUAUGUGCACCCAACAUAGGAGCACCUUGAUAUGUAAAGCAAAUGUUAUCAGAUCUAAAGUGAGAGAUAGACUCUAAUACGAUAAUAGUUGUGGAUUUCAACAACCCACUCUCAGAAAUGAGCAAAUUAUCUAAGCAGAAAUCCAACAAAGAAACAUCAGGUUUAAAUUAUGCAGUAGACCAAAUAAACCUAACAGAUGUCUACAGAACAUUUCAUGCACUGGUUGCAGAAUACAUAUUUUUCUUAUCAGUACACGGGACAUUCUCCAGAAUAGACCAUAAGUCAGGCUACAAAAGAAGUCUCAACAAAUUGUUUAAAAAUUGAAAUCAUAUCAAGUGUUUUUUUCUGACAAAUAUGAAAGAAAGCUAGAAAUCAAUAACAAGCAGAAUUUUGGAAAUUGUACCAAAACACGGAAAUUAAUGGCCAAUGGGUGAAGAAAGAAAUUCACAGAAAUUAAAAAAUUUCCUGAAAUAAAUGAAAAUAGAAACACAACAUCAGAACUUAUGGGAUAGAGCAAAAAUAGUAUUAAGAGGGAAGUAUAUAGCAAUACAUGCCUAUAUUCAUUAAGAAAGAUUUCAAAUAAAAAACCUAUUAAUGGAUCUCAAGGAACGAGAAAUGGAAGAAUAAACCAAACACUGAAUUAGUAAAGAAACAGCAAUGAUCAGAGCAAAAGUAAAGAAAAUAGAGAGUAAAACUCCAGAUCAACAAAAUAAAAGGUUUGUUUUCUGAAAAGAUUAAAAAAUUGAAAAUACAUUUUAUUUAUUUAUUUAUUUAUUUAUUUAUUUUUUUGAGACGGAGUCUGGCUCUGUUGCCCAGGCUGGAGUGUAGUGGUGUGAUCUCGGCUCACUGCAAGCUCCACCUCCCGGGUUCACGCCAUUCUCCUGCCUCAGCCUCCCGAGUAGCUGGGACUAUAUGCACCUGCCACCACGCCCGGAUGAUUUUUUGUAUUUUUAGUAGAGACGGGGUUUCACCGUGUUAGCCAGGAUGGUCUUGAUCUCCUGACCUCGUGAUCUGCCCACCUCGGCCUCCCAAAGUGCUGGGAUUACAGGCGUGAGCCACCGCACCCGGCCGAAAAUACAUUUUCUAGAUUAACUAAAAAAACAGAGAGACAUUCCAAAUAAAUAAAAUCAGAAACAAACAAAUAAAGACAUUACAACGGAUAUCACAUAAAUACAAAGAAUAAUUAGAGACUAUUACGAACAAUUAUAUACCAACAACUUGUGAAACUAGAGAAAACUGAUAAAUUCCUGGACACAUACAAACUACCAGCAUUGAACCAGGAAGAAAUAAAAAAUUUGAACAGACCAAUAAUGAGUAAUAAGAUUGAAUCUGAAAAAAAAGUCUCCUAAAAAAGAAAAGCCCAGGACAGGAGGGCUUCAUGGCUGAAUUCUACCAAACUUAAAAAAAAAAAAAAAAAAAAAAGAAACUUUUUUCUCAAACUUAAAAAAAAUGAAUGAAAGAAAUUAUUCCUAAUUUGUUCUAUGAGGCCAGGCCAGCAUUACUUUGAUACCAAAACCAGGCAAGGAUAUAAUAUAAAAAUAAAACUACAGGCUGAUAUGUAUGAUAAACAUAGAUGCAAAAAUCCUCAAGAAAAUGCUAGCGAACCAAAUCUAACAGCACGUCAGAAAGAUUAUAUGCCAUGAUCAAAUGCGAUUUUUCCCAGGGAUGCAAGGAGAUUUCAACCUAUGCAAAUCCAUAAACAUGAUACAUCACAUCAAUAGAAUAAAAACCAAAAACCAUAUGAUCAUCUCAAUAGACACAGAAGAAACAUUUGAUAAAAUUUAACAUUUAUUCAUGAUAAAAAUCCUCUAAAAAUUAGGUAUAGGGGAAAUGUAGCACAACACAAUAAAGGCCAUAUGUGACAAACCUACAGCCAACAUCAUGCUGAACAGGGAAAAGUUGGAAGCUUUCUCUCUAACAACUGGAACAAGGCAAGGAUGCCCACAUCAACACUCUUAUUCAAGAUAAUACUGGAAGUGUUAGCCAGAGCAAUAUGACAGGGGAAGAAAUAAGGGGCAUCCAGAUUGAAAAGGAAGAAGUUAAAUUGUUCUUGUUUACAGAUGACAUUAUCUUAUAUUUAGAAAAACCUAAAGACUUAAAAAAAACUUCUGGAACUGAUAAAAAAUUCAGUAAGUUUGCAGGAUAUGAAAUCAACAUAAAAUAAUCGGUAGCAUAUCUAUACACCAAUAAUGAUGUAGCUGAAAAAGCAAUUAAGAAAGCAAUCCCAUUUACAAUACUACAAAAAAGUCUAGUAAUAAAUUUAACCAAGGAGGUGAAAUAUUUCUAUAAUGAAAACUAUAAACACUGGUGAAAGAAAUUGAAGAAGACACACACACACAAAUGGAAAAAUAUCCCAUGCUUAUGAAUUGGAAGAAUUAAUAGUGUGAAAAUGAGCACUAAACAGAUUCAAUGUAAUCCUAUUAAAAUAUCGAUAACAUUCUUCACAGAUAUAGAAAAAAAGUCUAAAAAAUUUAUAUGGAAACACAAAAGGCUUUAUAUAGCCAAAGUAAUCCCGAGCAAAAAGAACAAGGCUGGAGGCAUCACACUACCUGAUUUAAAAAUAUGCUGUUCUACAAAACUUUAAAUCACACUACCUGAUUUAAAAAUAUGCUAUUCUACAAAGCUAUAGUAACCAAAACAGCAUAGUACUGGCAUUCAAAAAGAUACAUAGACCAACAGAACAGAAUAGAGAACACAGAAAUAAGUCCAUAUAUUUGCAGCCACUUGAUUUUUGACAAAUUCACCAAGAACAUGCAUUAGGGAUAGGUCAGUCUCUUCAAUAAAUGGUGCUGGGAGAAAUGGACAUCACAGAAAAAUAAAAAUAGACUCUUAUCUUUCACCACAAGCAAAAAUCAACUCAAAAUGGAUUAAAGGCUUAAAUUGAAGACCUGAAACUGGAAACUACUAGAAGAAAACAUAGGAGAAAUGCAUCAAGACGUUGGUAUGGGCAAAGAUUUUUAUGGAUAAGACCUCAAAAAUGCAGACAACGAAAGUAAAAAAUAGACAAAUGGAAUUGUAUCAAACGAAACCUGCAUAGCAAAAGAAACAAUCAACAGAGUGAAGAAAUAACCUGCAGAAUGGGAGAAAAUAUUCACAAACUAUGACAAAAUAUUAAUAUCAAGAAUACACAAGGAACUCAACUCCACAACAAAAAAAUCAAAUAAUCUGAUUAAAAAGGCAAAUGAACUGAAUAGAUAUUUAUCAAAAGAAGAUAUACAAAUGGCCAAUGGGUUUAUAAAAAUGGUCAACAUCACUAAUUAUCAAGAAAAUGUAUAUCAAAACCACAAUGAGAUAUCAUCUCACCCCAGUUAGAAUAGCUAUUAUUAAAAAGACAAAAAAUAUCAAAUGCGGACAAAGAUGUGGCAAAAAGGAAACUCAAAUACAUCGUUGGUGGGAAUGGAAAUUAAUACAGCCAGUAUGAAAAACAGUAUGGAGAUUCCUCAAAAAACUACAAAUACAUUACCAUAUGAUCCAGCAAUGUCAUUAGGGGGUAUAUGUCUAAAGAAAAGGAAAUCAGUGUGGCAACAAAAUAUCUGCAAUCCCAUAUUUAUAGUAGCACUCUUGUAGCACUAUGAAGAAAACACAGGAGAAAUACUUCAGGAUAUUGGUAUGGGCAAAAAUUUUCAUAAAUAAGACCUCGAAAGUACAGAUAACAAAAGCAAAAAAUAGGCAAAUUGCAUUAUAUCAAACAAACACCUUCUGCACAGCAAAAGAUACAAUCAACAGAGUGAAUAAAUAACCUGCAGAAUGGGAGAAGAUAUUUGCAAACUAUGCCAAGUUUGUACAUGUGCAUUGUAGCAUGUGGAUUGUGCAUCUGGACUGUAGCACCAUAGCCAAGAUACAGAUUGAGCGUAAGUGUCCAUCAACAGAUAAGUAGGUAAAGAAAAUGUGACACAUACACACACACACACACACAUAUACCCAAUGAAAUACUUUUCAGCCAUAAAAAUAAUGAAAUACUGUCAUUCACAGCAAUAUAAAUAAGUCUGGAGGACAUUAGAUUAAGUGAAAUAAGCAAGGCACAGAACAGCAAGUACCACACAAUCUCACUUAUAUGUGGAAGUUAAAACAAAUUGAUCUUAUAGAGAGUAGAAUAGUGGUUACUAGAUCCUGGGAAGGGUAGAGGAGAGAACAGGAUGGCAAGAGUUUUGUUAAUGAAUACAAAAUUACAGCUAAAUAGGAGGGACAGUUCUAGUAUUCUAAGCACCUUGGAGUGACUAUAGUUAACAAUAAUUUAUUGUGUAUUUUUAUAUAGGUAAGAGAGUGUAUUUUUAAUAUUCCCAACGCAGAGAAAUGAUAAAUGUUUGAAGUGAUGGAUAUACCAAUUAUUCCGAUUUGAUCAUUACCCAUUGUAUACCUGUGUCAAAAUAUCACACUGUACCCCAUAAAUAUGUAUAAUAACUAUGUGUAAAUUAAAAAUAAUUUUUAAAAGAUGAGAAGGAACAGAAACACGGAGUGAAUGCCAAGGGUAAAGGACAAGCAUUUUUAACUCUGCCAUAUUUAUAUGAAGGCUACAUAUACUUUGCUCCGAUUUAAUGAUCUUCACAACCUUUAUCUAUGGUUCAUUUACUUAUUCAGCAAAUAUUUCUUGAGUAUCUACUAUGUGUCAGGUGCUAUUCUAAGCAGGUGAGAAAUAUCAGUGAGUAAAAUAAAAAACAUUCUUACCUCCUG